UACAGAGGUGGCAAGCGUUGUUCGGAAUUACUGGGCGUAAAGGGCGCGUAGGCGGUUCGUUAAGUCCUGUGUGAAAUCCCCCGGCUCAACUGGGGAACUGCACAGGAAACUAGCGGGCUUGAGUUCGGGAGAGGGAAGCGGAAUUCCGGGUGUAGCGGUGAAAUGCGUAGAUAUCAGGAGGAACACCUGUGGUGUAGACAGCUUACUGGACCACGACUGACGCUGAGACACGAAAGCGUGGGUAGCAAACAGG
rnacentral:rRNA from 1 species